AAAAUUGUCAUGAGCAUGUUACCUGAAAAAUUUUGAUACAUAAUCGUUGUCAGAGUUUGGCACAUUUUUGAAAAUUUGGUAACUUUUAUUAAGCUGGUUUCAAUAAUAUGCAAAUAUCUUUUAUUCUUAUGAUUGCUUCAUUGUAUACUUUUUCCCUUUCCCUAGAGUGCAGUACAAUACCACAAGUUUUCCAGCCAAAUGCGAAAAUUCCACACCUUUAUCACGAGGAAAUCUGCAAUGGCAUUUAGGAAUGACAAAUAGAAGCUCAACUAUUCGAAGCAGGAGACCGAAGAGAAAAAAGGAAGAGAGAUGAUAUUACAGCUGCAGAAAAGGAAAUAAUUGAAACGCAGAAGAAUAUAUUAAUGUACUGUGUGAAAUAUGUGACUUGUAUAAGCAAUCAGUUGCAAAUCAGUCUGCUGUCAUAGAAAAUCAAAAUAUAAUUAUUAAUUUAUUAAAAAAAUAAAUCAUGCAUUUCAAAUAUUA